ensembl:lncRNA
GACACACUGAGACACAUAGAGACACAUAGGGACACACACCGACACAGUGCGACCCAUAGCGACCCACAGAGACCCAUAGGGACCCACAGAGACCCAUAGGGACCCCAUGGAGACACAUAGGGAUGCCAUGGAGACACGUAGGGACACAUAGGGACACAUAGGGAUGCCAUGGAGACACAUAGGGAUGCCAUGGAGACACAUAGGGACACAUAGGGACCCAUAGGGACACAUAGGGACCCAUAGGGACACACUGAGACACAUAGAGACACAUAGGGACACACACCGACACAGUGCGACCCAUAGCGACCCACAGAGACCCAUAGGGACCCACAGAGACCCAUAGGGACCCCAUGGAGACACAUAGGGAUGCCAUGGAGACACGUAGGGACACAUAGGGACACAUAGGGAUGCCAUGGAGACACAUAGGGAUGCCAUGGAGACACAUAGGGACACAUAGGGACCCAUAGGGACACAUAGGGACCCAUAGGGACACACUGAGACACAUAGGGACACAUAGGGACACAUAGGGACACACAGAGACCCAUAGGGACACAUAGGGACCCAUAGAGACACAUAGAGACACACAGCCACUAUGGGGACACAUACCGACACAUGGGGACACAGAGCGACCCAUAGCAACCCACAGAGACCCAUAGGGACCCCAUGGAGACCCCAUAGGGACACAUAGAGACCCAUAGGGACACAUAGGGACACAUAGAGACACAUAGGGACACAUAGGGACACGUAGGAACACAUAGGGACCCAUAGGGACACACUGAGACACAUAGAGACACACAGCCACCAUGGGGACACACACCGACACAUUGCGACCCAUAGCGACCCACAGAGACACAUAGGGACCCAUAGGGACCCAUAGGGAUGCCAUGGAGACACAUAGGGACACAUAGGGACCCAUAGAGACGCACAGAGACACAUAGGGACACAUAGGGACACAUAGGGACACACAGAGACCCAUAGGGACACAUAGGGACCCAUAGAGACACAUAGAGACACACAGCCACUAUGGGGACACAUACGACACAUGGGGACACAGAGCACCCAUAGCGACCCACAGAGACCCAUAGGGACCCCAUGGAGACCCCAUAGGGACACAUAGAGACCCAUAGGGACACAUACGGACACAUAGAGACAUAUAGGGACACAUAGGGACACGUAGGGACCCAUAGGGACACACUGAGACACAUAGAGACACACAGCCACCAUGGGGACACACACCGACACAUUGCGACCCAUAGCGACCCACAGAGACACAUAGGGACCCAUAGGGACCCAUAGGGAUGCCAUGGAGACACAUAGGGACACGUAGGGACACAUAGGGACACAUAGAGACACAUAGAGACACACAGAGACCCAUAGGGACACAUACAGACACAUAGAGACACACAGAGAACCAUAGGGACACAUAGGGACCCAUAGAGACGCACAGAGACACAUAGAGACACAUAGGGACCCAUAGGGACACAUAGGGACACAUAGAGACACACAGGGACACAUAGGGACCCAUAGGGACACAUAGGGACACAUAGAGACACAUAGGGACACAUAGGGACACAUAGGGACCCAUAGAGACCCAUAGAGACACAUAGGGACACAUAGAGACACACAGGGACCCAUUGGGACACAUAGGGACACAUAGAGCCCCAUAGAGACACAUAGGGACACAUAGGGACACAUAGGGACCCACAGGGAAACGUAGGGACACAUAGGGACACAUAGAGACACAUAGGGACCCACAGAGACCCAUAGGGACCCCAUGGAGACACAUAGGGACACAUAGGGACACAGAGAGACACGUAGGGAAACAUAGGGACACAUAGGGACACACAGCCACCGGGGGGACGCACACCGACACACUGCGACCCAUAGCGACCCACAGAGACCCAUAGGGACCCAGAGACACGUAGGGACACAUAGGGACACAUAGGGACACGUAGGGACACAUAGAGACACAUAGGGACACAUAGGGACACAUAGAGACACACAGCCACCGGGGGGACGCACACCGACACACUGCGACCCAUAGCGACCCAUAGCGACCCAUAGCGACCCAUAGGGACCCGUAGGGACGCCAUGGAGACACGUAGGGACACAUAGGGACACAUAGGGACACAUAGAGACACACAGCCACCGGGGGGAUGCACACCGACACAGUGCGACCCAUAGCGACCCAUAGCGACCCAUAGCGACCCAUAGGGACCCAUAGGGAUGCCAUGGAGACACAUAGGGACACAUAGAGACCCAUAGAGACACAUAGGGACCCAUAGGGACACACUGAGACACAUAGAGACACAUAGGGACACACACCGACACAGUGCGACCCAUAGCGACCCACUGAGACCCAUAGGGACCCAUAGAGACACACUGAGACACAUAGAGACACACAGCCACCAGGGGGACGCACACCGACACAUUGCGACCCAUAGCGACCCCAUGGAGACACAUAGGGACACAUAGAGACACACAGAGCCCCAUAGAGACCCACUGCGACCCAUAGAGAUCCAUAGAGACCCCAGAGAGACCCCAUAGAGACACAUAGAGACACAUAGAGACCCAUAGAAACACAUAGAGACCCAUAGAGACCCAUAGGGACACACAGGGACACAUAGGGACACAUAGGGACACAUAGGGACACAUAGAGACCCAUAGGGACACAUAGGGACACAUAGAGACACAUAGGGACACAUAGGGACACAUAGGGAAACGUAGGGACACAUAGGGACCCAUAGAGACACAUAGGGACACAUAGAGACACACAGGGACCCAUAGGGACACAUAGGGACACAUAGGGACACAUAGGGACACGUAGGGACACAUAGAGACACACAGAGACCCAUAGGGACCCAUAGGGACACAUAGGGACACAUACAGACACAUAGGGACACAUAGAGACGCACAGAGACACAUAGAGACACAUAGGGACACAUAGGGACACGUAGGGACACAUAGGGACACAUAGGGACACAUAGAGACACAUAGAGACACACAGGGACACAUAGAGACACACAGGGACCCAUAGGGACACAUAGGGACCCAUAGAGACACAUAGAGACACAUACAGACACACAGCCACCAUGGGGACACAUACCGACACAUGGGGACACAGAGCGACCCAUAGCGACCCAUAGCGACCCAUAGGGACCCCAUGGAGACACGUAGGGACACAUAGGGACACAUAGAGACACAUAGCGACACGUAGGGACACAUAGAGACCCAUAGGGACACAUAGGGACCCAUAGAGACACAUAGGGACACAUAGGGACACAUAGAGACACAUAGAGACACAUAGAGACCCAUAGGGACACAUAGGGACACAUAGGGACCCAUAGAGACACAUAGGGACACAUAGGGACACAUAGAGACACAUAGAGACCCAUAGAGACACAUAGGGACACAUAGGGACCCAUAGAGACACAUAGAGACACAUAAGGACACAUAGGGACACGUAGGGACACAUAGAGACACAUAGAGACACAUAGGGACACAUACAGACACAUAGGGACACGUAGGGACACGUAGGGACACAUAGAGACACACAGGGACACAUAGAGACCCAUAGAGACACACUGAGACACAUAGAGACACACAGCCACCAUGGGGACACACACCGAUACAGUGCGACCCAUAGCGACCCACAGAGACCCAUAGGGACCCAUAGGGAUGCCAUGGAGACACGUAGGGACACAUAGAGACACAUAGGGACACAUAGAGACACAUAGGGACACGUAGGGACACAUAGAGACCCCAUGGAGACACAUAGAGACACAUAGGGACACAUAGAGACACACAGCCACCAUGGGGACACAUACCGACACAUUGCGACCCAUAGGGACCCAUAGCGACCCAUAGGGACCCAUAGGGAUGCCAUGGAGACACAUAGGGAUGCCAUGGAGACACAUAGGGACACAUAGAGACCCAUAGAGACGCACAGAGACACAUAGAGACACAUAGGGACACAUACAGACACAUAGAGACACACAGAGACCCAUAGGGACCCAUAGGGACACAUACAGACACAUAGGGACACAUAGAGACCCAUAGAGACACAUAGGGACCCAUAGGGACGCCAUGGAGACACAUAGGGACACAUAGGGACCCAUAGGGAAACAUAGGGACCCAUAGGGACACAUAGGGACACACAGAGACCCAUAGGGACACAUAGGGACACACAGAGACCUAUAGGGACACAUAGGGACCCAUAGAGACGCACAGAGACACAUAGAGACACAUAGGGACCCAUAGGGACCCAUAGGGACACAUAGGGCCCCAUAGAGACACAUAGGGACACAUAGAGCCCCAUAGAGACACAUAGGGACACAUAGAGACACACAGGGACCCAUGGGGACACAUAGGGACACAUACAGACACAUAGGGACACAUAGAGACACAUAGGGACACGUAGGGACACAUAGGGACCCAUAGAGACACAUAGAGACACAUAGGGACACAUAGGGACACAUAGGGACCCAUAGGGACACAUAGGGCCCCAUAGAGACACAUAGGGACACAUAGAGCCCCAUAGAGACACAUAGGGACACAUAGAGACACACAGGGACCCAUAGGGACACAUAGGGACACAUACAGACACAUAGGGACACAUAGAGACACAUAGGGACACAUAGGGACACAUAGGGACCCAUAGAGACACAUAGAGACACAUAGGGACACAUAGAGACCCAUAGGGACACAUAGGGACCCAUAGAGACACAUAGAGACCCAUAGAGACACAUAGGGACACAUAGAGACCCAUAGAGACCCAUUACCCCAUAACCCCCAUUACCCCACUGCCCCCAUCACCCCAUUGCCCCCAUUACCCCCAUUACCCC